CACAGACUCCUACGGGAGGCAGCAGUGGGGAAUAUUGGGCAAUGGGCGCAAGCCUGACCCAGCAACGCCGCGUGAAGGAAGAAGGCUUUCGGGUUGUAAACUUCUUUUAUUCGGGACGAAGAAAGUGACGGUACCGAAUGAAUAAGCCACGGCUAACUACGUGCCAGCAGCCGCGGUAAUACGUAGGUGGCAAGCGUUAUCCGGAUUUAGUGGGUGUAAAGGGCGUGUAGGCGGGAAUGCAAGUCAGAUGUGAAAACGCAGGGCUCAACCCUGAGCCUGCAUUUGAAACUGUGUUUCUUGAGUGCUGGAGAGGCAAUCGGAAUUCCGUGUGUAGCGGGGAAAUGCGUAGAUAUACGGAGGAACACCAGUGGCGAAGGCGGAUUGCUGGACAGUAACUGACGCUGAGGCGCGAAAGCGUGGGGAGCAAACAGGAUUAGA
rnacentral:rRNA from 1 species